rnacentral:rRNA from 1 species
GACAGGGGGUGCUAGCGUUGCUCGGAAUCACUGGGCGUAAAGCGCACGUAGGCGGUCCCGUAAGUCGGGUGUGAAAGCCCUCAGCCUAACUGAGGAACUGCGCCCGAUACUGCGGGGCUUGAGGAUGGGAGGGGAGAGUGGAAUUCCUGGUGGAGCGGUGAAAUGCGUAGAUAUCAGGAGGAAUACCAGUGGCGAAGGCGACUCUCUGGUCCAUUCCUGACGCUGAGGUGCGAGAGCUAGGGGAGCAAACGGG